rnacentral:rRNA from 1 species
GACGAACGCUGGCGGCGUGCUUAACACAUGCAAGUCGAACGGAAAGGCCCUGCUUUUGUGGGGUGCUCGAGUGGCGAACGGGUGAGUAACACGUGAGUAACCUGCCCUUGUCUUUGGGAUAACUUCAGGAAACUGGGGCUAAUACCGCAGAGGAGCUCCUGCUGCACGGUGGGGGUUGGAAAGUUUCGGCGGUUUGGGCUGGACUCGCGGCUUAUCAGCUUGUUGGUGGGGUAGUGGCUUACCAAGGCUUUGACGGGUAGCCGGCCUGGGAGGGGGACCGGGCACAUUGGGCCUGCGAUACGGCCCAGACGCCUACGGGCGGCAGCAGUGGGGAAUAUUGCACAAUGGGCGGAAGCCUGAUGCAGCAACGCCGCGUGCGGGAUGACGGCCUUCGGGUUGUGAACCGCUUUCGCCUGUGACGAAGCGUGAGUGACGGUAAUGGGUAAAGAAGCACCGGCUAACUACGUG